CCUACGGGUGGCAGCAGUGGGGAAUAUUGCACAAUGGGGGAAACCCUGAUGCAGCAACGCCGCGUGAGGGAAGACGGUUUUCGGUUUGUAAACUUCUAUCAACAGGGAAGAAAGAAAUGACAGUACCUAAAUAAGCACCCCCUGCUAACUACGUGCCAGCAGCCGCUGUAAUACGUAGGGGGCAAGCGUUAUCCGGAAUUACUUGGUGUAAAGGGAGAGUAGGCGGCAAGGUAAGCGAUAUGUGAAAGCCUUAAGCUUAACGUAAAGAUGGCAUAACGAACUAUCUAGCUAGAGUACAGGAGAGGAAAGCGGAAUUCCUAGUGUAGCGGUGAAAUGCGUAGAUAUUAGGAAGAACACCAGUGGCGAAGGCGGCUUUCUGGACUGAAACUGACGCUGAGGCUCGAAAGCGUGGGGAGCGAACAGGAUUAGAUACCCCAGUAGUC
rnacentral:rRNA from 1 species